rnacentral:rRNA from 1 species
AACGUAGGCGGCGAGCGUUAUCCGGAUUUACUGGGUGUAAAGCGCGUGCAGGCGGUUCUGCAAGUGGGACGUGAAAGCGCCCGGCUCAACCGGGCGAGGCCGUUCCGAACUGCGGGACUGGAGGCAGGUAGAGGCGUGUGGAAUUCCGGGUGUAGUGGUGAAAUGCGUAGAGAUGUGGAGGAACACCGAUGGCGAAGGCAGCCCCCUGGGUCGACACUGACGCUCAUGCACGAAAGCGUGGGGAGCAAAC